ensembl:lncRNA
UCUUCUCUUAUUUUCUGGGGAAAUGUUGGGAAACUGUUAUACGCAUUACAAGUAAAGGGGAAUUUUUCUGUGGGGCAUUUUUUUCCACUUUUUCAUUCUAUUUACACUUUAUUUAAACAAAAGGGUGAGAGUUGGGUCCCCGGUUCUCCUAACCCUCAUUCCGCCCCCCCCACUCCUAACUCGGUUUCCCCUAAGGGUGGGUCGGGCAGCAGACCCUGCCAUAACCAGGCACAGGGCUGCCACCGUCUCCCUGCUGCUCCCCGCCCCACUCUGUUCUCUCCUUGUCCUGGGACUGGUCAUCCCAGUGCGAGUCUUUCCUCUCCCCAAAGCCCUCAAACCCCUGUACCCAGUUUAAAACCAUGUUAUUCGAUUCCUGAUCUCUGUCACCACACCUCACAAAAUGGCGCCGGCCACAUGGCCGAGCAGCCCGCCACCGAGGGACAAAAUGGCACCUCCUCUCCACCUCCUCACUCCCUUCGGGCCCCUGCCAGUCCCCCUCAGGUUCCACCCCCGUCGGGUGCCGCCCCUGCGUCGGGUCCCGCCCCUACCACCGCGUCGAUUGUUACGUCGUCGGGACCCGCCCCUCCAGCCCCCAUGGCCACACCCCUGGGUGGGCCCCCGGUGGGAGGGACCGGCCUGCAGGAAGGCCACGCCCCGGUGGGAGGGACCGGCCUGCAGGAAGGCCACGCCCCUGUGGGAGGGAACCCCCUGCCGGAAUGCCACACCCCGGUGGGUGAGCCUGGCCACGCCUCCCCUCAGGCCUCUUCUGGUUCCCACUCCACCGGAACCGGAAGUCGGCCUGGCCGGAAGCAGGCCAUCUUGGCCUGCCGGGCUUCAUGCCACCGAAGCCCACCGGCCAAGGGGAAGGUCCGAGCCCUUGCUCGUCCUGCCUCAUCCUCCGAUGAGGAUGAGGACAGCGACAGCCCCCGGCCCACACCUAGGCCGGGAGGUGGGUGGGCCCGGAUCAGGGCAGAGGCAAUUAAGGAUGGGGAUUUGGAAUUCGCAAGAGAUCUGGGGCCGUUCGCAGCACCUGUGGUGAGGACCAGGGGGCAGCGGCCACACUGGGAGCAACUUCCAUAUGUGGAGAUUAAAGAACUGAGGAAGGCUGCCAAAGACUAUGGUCGAGACUCUCCUUUCUUUAAGAAUGUAUUGGACCUCGCUUUCUCGGGCCAUACAUUGGUCCAGCAUGACAUUAAAUAUAUUGCCAAGUCCCUGCUCACUCCCACCGAGCUUUUAUUGUGGGACAUUCAAUGGAGAAAGCUCCUCAAGCCUCUUCUGAAAAAACACAAUUUAGCGGAGGCAAUUGGAGAGGGAGAGGAAGCCAUAGAAGCCCUGGCAUGGGAGGGGGAGUUCAGCCAGCCAGAGGACCAAAUACUGUUACCCACGGAGGUCCUAGAUGACAUCAAGGAGGCUGGCCGAGCGGCACUGUUAAAAAUCCCCGAUGGGAAAACCCCCCUCCAGAACUUUUCAGCUAUUACCCAGGGCCCAGAGGAAUCUUUCAUAAAAUUCGUGGACCGGCUGAGGGAGGCCAUCAACCGGCAGAUAGACCAUCCUGCAGCGAGGGAAGAGCUCCUGAGAAAGAUGGCCAUGACCAACGCGACAGCCGAGACAAAGAAGAUAUUAAGGACUUUACCUCAGGACCNNNNNNNN